AUGAUACUCCCUCUGUUCCAUAAUUCUUGUCGAAAUAUUACAUGUAUCUAAACGUUUUUUAGGAAUAGAUACAAUCCAUUUUUGGACAAAUUUGAGAUAAGAAUUAUGUAACGGAGGGAGUACUUA
rnacentral:pre_miRNA from 1 species